UACGUAGGGUGCGAGCGUUGCCCGGAUUUAUUGGGCGUAAAGAGCGUGUAGGCGGCCAGACAGGUCCGUUGUGAAAACUCGAGGCUCAACCUCGAGACGCCGAUGGAAACCGUCUGGCUAGAGUCCGGAAGAGGAGAGUGGAAUUCCUGGUGUAGCGGUGAAAUGCGCAGAUACCAGGAGGAACACCGGUGGCGAAGGCGGUUUCCUGGCCGAGUACUGACGCUGAGGCACGAAAGCGUGGGGAGCGAACGGG
rnacentral:rRNA from 1 species